rnacentral:lncRNA from 1 species
GAUUAAGGUCCUUGAAAGUGAAAUCAGAAGCCUUUGGGUUUUGAAGAUGAGUGAUAUGAUCAUUUUAAAAAGUUCACUCUGUCUCAUAAGACACUGUAGUGGGACCAAGGCAGAAACAGAGAGACCAGGAGUUUAUGACACCGUGUGAAGAGAACACGCUGACUUUGAUACAUCAGAAAUGCAUUUGUUUAGAAAACAUUUCGUUGACAUUUCUUGUAGAAAAUAGCUUCACAUUAGCGUAGGAUAGGCUGAGACUGUGACAGUAUGAGUCAGUAAGAACUCUCUGAGUUUCGUUUUUCAAGCCACAACAUAAAUAAGCCCAGUCUAAAUUAAAAGCCAUCAUCUUCCAGGCGUCCAUUUCUUUGACCUAAUGCCUAGAUGUUUACCUUUCUCAUGUGCUGGAGUUACAAAUAAUUUUUCACAAAGCAUCUUCUCUCAAAUAAAUCAUUAUAUUGAGAGGAAUUGUCUGAAAGUAAAGUCCCUUAUACCUCAGGAGGAUCCAGACUGAAUCACUGAACUGAAGGAAUGGAUAUAAAAGUUCCCCUUUCGGGGCGAGGUGCGGUGACUCACGCCGGUAAUCCCAGCACUUUGGGAGACUGAGGCAGGCGGAU